UACGUAGGGCGCAAGCGUUGUCCGGAAUUACUGGGCGUAAAGGGCGCGUAGGCGGAUACUUAAGUCGGGGGUGAAAGCCCGGGGCUCAACCUCGGAAUUGCCUUCGAUACUGGGUAUCUUGAGUUCGGGAGAGGUGAGUGGAACUCCGAGUGUAGAGGUGAAAUUCGUAGAUAUUCGGAAGAACACCAGUGGCGAAGGCGACUCACUGGCCCGAUACUGACGCUGAUGCGCGAAAGCGUGGGGGAGCAAACAGGG
rnacentral:rRNA from 1 species